rnacentral:misc_RNA from 1 species
AAGAGACGUUGCCCUUCGGGGUAUGCCUCCCACCCUUUGUUUAUUAUACCUUUGUUGCUUUGGCGGGCCCGUCCUCGGACCACCGGCUUCUGCUGGUCAGUGCCCGCCAGAGGACCUAAAACUCUGUUUGUUAAUAUUGUCUGAGUACUAUAUAAUAGUUA